ensembl:lncRNA
UCCACAAGUGUCCCCAGGUGUGUCCCUACCCCCCACGUGAGUUCCCAGGUGGCCCCAGGUGUGCCCAGGUGUGCCCAGGUGUGUCCCCACCCCCCAGAUGUGCCCAGAUGAAUCCCCAGGUGUGCCCAGGUGUGUUUCCACCCCCAAGGUGUGCCCAGGUCAGUCCCCAGGUGUGCCCACGUGUACCCCCAGGUGUGUCCCCACCCCCAGGUGUGCCCAGAUGAAUCCCCAGGUGUUUCCCCAGGUGUUUCCCCAGGUGUGCCCAGGUGUACACCCAGGUGUGCCACUACCCCCAGGUGUGCCCAGGUGUGCCCCCAGCUGUCCCCCCCCCAGUUUCCCGCAGGUGCUCACCAGGUGUGGCUCCAGGGGGUACCUGUCGGGCUGGCGCCGGUGCCGCUCCAGGUCGGCGCGGCUCAGGCAGACGUCGGCGCGGUGGCGGCAGAAGGAGCGGCAGGUGAGGCAGGUGCCCCCCCCGAGGGCGGUGCCCACGAACAGCGGGCGGCAGCGCUGGCACUGCGGGCCCUGCAGGUGUGCACAGGUGUGUUACAGGUGUGCACAGGUGUGGUACAGGUAACCCCACCUGGCACCCAGGUAACCCCACCUGGCACCCACCUGGCACCCAGGUAACACACCUGGCACCCGGGUAACACACCUGGCACCCAGGUAACCCCACCUGGGCACACCUGGCACCCAGGUAACACACCUGGCACCCAGCUAACCCCACCUGGCACACCUGGCACCCAGGUAAUCCACCUGGCACUCACCUGGCACCCAGGUAACACACCUGGCACACCUGGCACCCAGGUAACCCCACCUGGCACCCGGGUAACACACCUGGCACCCAGGUAACACACCUGGCACCCAGGUAACCCCACCUGGCACACCUGGCACCCAGGUAAUCCACCUGGCACUCACCUGGCACCCAGGUAACACACCUGGCACACCUGGCACCCAGGUAACCCCACCUGGCACCCAGGUAACACACCUGGCACCCAGGUAACCCCACCUGGCACCCAGGUAACCCCACCUGGCACCCAGGUAACUCACCUGGCACCCAGGUAACACACCUGGCACCCAGGUAACACACCUGGCACUCACCUGGCACCCCGGUAACCCCACCUGGGCACACCUGGCACCCAGGUAACCCCAGCUAGGCACACCUGGCACCCAGGUAACCCCACCUGGGCACACCUGGCACCCAGGUAACACACCUAACACCCAGGUAACCUCACCUGGCACCCAGGUAACCCCACCUGGCACUCACCUGGCACCCAGGUAACACACCUGGCACCCAGGUAACCCCACCUGGCACCCAGGUAACCCUCCUGGCACGCAGGUAACACACCUGGCACCCAGGUAACCCCACCCAGGUAACUCACCUGGCACCCAGGUAACACACCUGGCACCCAGGUAACCCCACCUGGCACCCAGGUAACACACCUGGCACCCAGGUAACUCACCUGGCACCCAGGUAACACACCUGGCACCCAGGUAACCUCACCUGGCACCCAGGUAACACACCUGGCACCCAGGUAACACACCUGGCACACCUGGCACUCACCUGGGUGUUGUUGUGGCACUGCAGACAGGUGUCUGUUGCAUGCGGCCUGGCGCAGUCGCUGUGCCCGUUGCAGGCGCAGGUGACGCCGCAGUCGGGCACCCACCCAGGUAACACACCUGUGCCCAGGUAACACACCUGGCACCCAGGUAACACACCAGGUAACACACCUGUGCCCAGGUAACACUCACCUGGGUGUUGUUGUGGCACUGCAGACAGGUGUCUGUUGCACGCGGCCUGGCGCAGUCGCUGUGCCCGUUGCAGGCGCAGGUAACGCCGCAGUCGGGUACCCACCCAGGUAACACACCUGGGCACACCUGGCACUCACCUGGGUGUUGUUGUGGCACUGCAGACAGGUGUCGGUGGCGCGGGGCCCGGCGCAGUCGCUGUGCCCGUUGCAGGCGCAGGUAACGCCGCAGUCGGGCACCCACCCAGGUAACACACCUGUGCCCAGGUACCACUCACCUGGGUGUUGUUGUGGCACUGCAGACAGGUGUCCGUUGCAUGCGGCCCGGCGCAGUCGCUGUGCCCGCCCAGGUAACACACCUGGCACCCAGGUAACACACCUGGCACUCACCUGUGCCCAGGUAACACUCACCUGGGUGUUGUUGUGGCACUGCAGACAGGUGUCGGUUGCAUGCGGCCCGGCGCAGUCGCUGUGCCCACCCAGGUAACACACCUGGGCACACCUGGCACCCAGGUAACACUCACCUGGGCACACCUGGCACUCACCUGGGCACACCUGGCACUCACCUGGGUGUUGUUGUGGCACUGCAGACAGGUGUCCGUUGCAUGCGGCCCGGCGCAGUCGCUGUGCCCGUUGCAGGCGCAGGUAACUCACCUGGCACCCAGGUAACACACCUGUGCCCAGGUAACACUCACCUGGGUGUUGUUGUGGCACUGCAGACAGGUGUCGGUGGCACGGGGCCCGGCGC